rnacentral:rRNA from 1 species
AGCAGUAGCCGCGGGAAUACGUAGGGCGCAAGCGUUGUCCGGAAUUAUUGGGCGUAAAGAGCUCGUAGGCGGUCUGUCGCGUCUGGUGUGAAAUCCCGAGGCUCAACCUCGGGCUUGCAUCGGGUACGGGCAGACUAGAGUGCGGUAGGGGAGACUGGAAUUCCUGGUGUAGCGGUGGAAUGCGCAGAUAUCAGGAGGAACACCGAUGGCGAAGGCAGGUCUCUGGGCCGCAACUGACGCUGAGGAGCGAAAGCAUGGGGAGCGAACAGGAUUAGAGACCCCGGUAGUCCCUGUCUCUUAUAA